UGAACUAGAACUGAACUAGAACUGAACUAGAACUGAACUAGAACUGAACAAGAACUGAACCAGGACUGAAAUAGAAAAAUAAAUUUUUUGUCUUACAGUUUUUUUUCGAAAUAUUCAUUCGCACCUCGUUACUACACUUAGCGAAAUGAAAAAUUUAAAUUCCCUUUCCUAUACAAAGGGGUUGCAGAAAAAAAUCGAAGAGGAAGGAGUAAGAAAAAGAUGUACAUGUUAAAAAUUUACAGAAAUAUCGCGUGUUUUACCAACUUCAAGAUUGUUUCAAGAGGAUAAACCAUGUUUUCAGGUGCUACUUACUCUAUUCAUAUGGAAAUUUUUUUCGUUAUUGCUGGUGCUGCUGUUUAUUUUAGUUCUUGUCUAUUUCCCAAUACACUACACAUGGAAUAUAUGGAGUACAACUCUAAAAAUAAAAUAUUUGGCGCGAAACGUGUUCUUGUGACUGUCUUAUAUUAUUUUGGUUGCUGCAUUAAAGGAGCGAACAAAAAAAAACUUAAAACUUAACUUGUUAUCACCAGCAAUACCAACCAACCGACGGACCAAUCGUGCUAAAAACAUAAUGAAAUUGCCAAUACAAAAAAAAAACAAAAUAAAUAAAACAUCGGGAGAUUUAUUUACCACAUUCAACA